CUCGCGUCAGGAUAUGCCCAGGUGGGAUUAGCUAGUUGGUGAGGUAAGGGCUCACCAAGGCGACGAUCCCUAGCUGGUCUGAGAGGAUGAUCAGCCACACUGGAACUGAGACACGGUCCAGACUCCUACGGGAGGCAGCAGUGGGGAAUAUUGCACAAUGGGCGCAAGCCUGAUGCAGCCAUGCCGCGUGUGUGAAGAAGGCCUUCGGGUUGUAAAGCACUUCAGUCGUGAGGAAGGUGGUAGUGUUAAUAGCACUAUCAUUUGACGUUAGCGACAGAAGAAGCACCGGCUAACUCCGUGCCAGCAGCCGCGGUAAUACGGAGGGUGCGAGCGUUAAUCGGAAUUACUGGGCGUAAAGCGCAUGCAGGUGGUUUGUUAAGUCAGAUGUGAAAGCCCGGGGCUCAACCUCGGAACUGCAUUUGAAACUGGCAGACUAGAGUACUGUAGAGGGGGGUAGAAUUUCAGGUGUAGCGGUGAAAUGCGUAGAGAUCUGAAGGAAUACCGGUGGCGAAGGCGGCCCCCUGGACAGAUACUGACACU
rnacentral:rRNA from 1 species